CCAUAAGUGACAACCUUAACGAGGGACUGUUAUGCAUACAGCAUGAAAAGUUAUUUAACUUAAUACCUCCAGUUCAGGUUUCAGCCUUGAGUACUCUGCAUAUUCUUCUAUUUGUGCCUAACAAUGUUGAACAGCAUUUGAUACUUUUGGGAUCAUUACAGUGUCAACUCUCCCAUCUUGGCCAACUGCAAAUUAAAUUCUCUGUAGCUGUUUCCUCUGUGGUCCCAAAUGGAUGAAAUUGUUGCACAGCUGAGUAAGGCCCGGGGCCAGUUAUAUCCAAAAAUUGAAAACUGCUUUGGCAAUUUCAGCCUUCAUGUCUCUGAAGGAGACAGGGAAGGAGGGCCUUAGUGUGGAGUGUGGGAUCACAACAGCCAUAGUGGUGACAAGGUCUGCUAGUGCCCAUGAAGUGUCAGGCUCACUCCUAACAUAGAAAGACACUUCAAAAAUAUGGCAUUUUAGGGUGGAACCCUUCCCAUUUUCCUCUUUCUAUAAGCACAGCCUGGAGGCUACAGCUGCCUGCACACUGGUGUGAGCUGUGGGCCAUCUCUGGUUCCACCUUGUUCAUAGGGCAGUUCAGAAAUGCCCCAGGGCUGAAGCUGAAUGCAGAAAUUCAUACACCCAGCCCGUGUCUUUGGCACCAGUUACAGUCAUGCUGGCCCUACAAAUCCUAAAAUAGUUUCCAACCCUGUGAGGUGAAAAGCAGCACUGGGGAUGCCCUGAGGAUAUGGAGCGCUGGGGAAAGUAAAACAGCUCUGGUCUUUCUCAGGCCAGGAGUUGUUGAGACCAUAUGUCCUACUUCCCAUUCCAGUGACUGUGCUUUGAUGCCCAAAAGUAGGCAUAACCCUCCAACCUGUUGCUCAUCCAUGUUUCAAAGCACCAGUGAGCCCCAGCCCACCUUAUGGAGAGAACACCAUAUCUUGUAUACUUUGCAAACAAACCAAGAGGGUUUUAGGAUCUACCAUUUCUCCAAACCCCUUGGUACUGGCAGCCCAGUGAUGGUGAUGCCUGUCUUACUCUGUAGUGGUGGGACUGGGACUUGAGGGGCCUGUUUUCUGCAGAGGCUUUGUGGGGAGCCUGGCAGCUCAGACCAGCAGCUCUGUCGGCCACUGAGAACUGGCAGCAACUUCUGCCCCUGAACAUUAGCAUCCUCUGUAGGUUCUCUGGGCCAGUCGGGCAAACAGGUUGAAAAGGCUCUGGUUCCAAUAAGUCAUAGAGAGAACACAAACAGAGGCAUCAAAAUGUCCUUCACAGGCAGAAUGGCUGUGAAAUAGUUUGUACAGGCAUAACUAACUGAACUUUCACAUCACAAAUAUGACCCAGGAACAAGUCACUAUUUUUCAGGGGUACCUCUAGUCUUUGCAUUUACUUACAGCCAUGCGAACUGCCUAACAGUGAAAAGCACACUCUGGUAGAGACAGGAGUGAGAUCCAUCCUGGAUGUCAAAUACAGAUGUUACAAAAUCCCAGAAUGGUUUUGGUUGGAAGGGACCUUAAAGUUCCAACCCCUUGGCCAUGGCCAGGGACACCUUCCACUAGACCAGGCUGCUCAGAGCUCAACAACCGUUUUCUCAACAGCAACACCUCCUUCCAGCCCACCAGCAACAGACUCCAGCGUUUCCACUGGCUUCUGCCCACCAAAUGCCAGUCCUCCUAAGGAGGAUGUGCCCUGAAAGAGCAUACUGUGCAACUCACUUCACUGGGACCACAGAGCUCCAAAUUGAUGAGACAGGCAUGAACAAGAAAAUGAGGACAAGAGCAACCCCACUGUGUUUGCUUCAAGCCCUGUCACCACAGCCACUCUGCUAAAAAGUGACCUAGAACUGCAUGUUAGGACCAAACUGUGGUUUCCAAUUCUAGAAAGGAAAAGCCUUUAUAAAGCAGGUGCCAAGAUUUUGAGCCUAUUAGCUGGUUUUCUAUUGCCUUUCUGGGCACGGUUGAAAUUUCUGUCAUUAAAAAUGUUUUUUUAUUUGGAGGUGGUGGUGGGAGAAAUAUCUUUUUUUAAAUUUUUAACACUAAAACAAAAAUCCCAAGCCUGGUCCUGGUCUCCUUCAUUAUCCAAACCCAAACUCAUUAUCUCUCUCCCACUUGAAGUGAGUAUAUAUAUUCUAUGCAUGCUAAAAUAAUCAGGGGCCAAUUUUUAAGUACUAAAAGAAGUUUUACAGUUAUGUUACAUUUGACUGAAAGGAGAAAAAACAAGUAUUACAGUAAGAAAAUGCUUCAGAGGAGUGAGCAAAGGACUGCAGCAGGCUAGAGCCCCUCACAUGUCCUCCUCAGUAAUUUCUUCCCUCUAUUAUCACUCAAUGUUUUCUGUCACUUCACUUUUUGUGUUCUCUGUUAUUUAAGUUAAUGUUUCCUUACCAGCCUUUCCCCAAAAGUAAACACAAGCAUAUCAUUGUAGAAUUAGCACAUAGUGGUGGUCUUGCAAGUUUUACAUACCGUGUAUGCACAUGAACAGAGCAGUACUUGUGUAGAGGGAAACGGCUGUUAUGAAAGGCACUGAUAGAGCUGGCAAAGGAGGUUUUUGAAAUAAGGGUCCAUCUGAGAUUUAACACAUCACUAAAACUCUGGUGGCAUUUGCUACCAAGAUAUACUUCAGGUAUUUGUUUGCGAUACCUCUUCCCUCCCCUUGGGUCUGUCCACACUCUCUGCCAGUGUGUCAGGCCAAGGCCUCAAGGCCAAUUCCUGGACAGGACUGUGGUCCUGCACACUAAUGAACAUUACUAAGCCUGUGAAGUUGGUGCAGGUGUUCAUGGGUGAAAAGCUAUUGCAGUUUGACCCACCUGGUGGUGUGUUGCAUUGGAACAAGCACAAAUCAAUUUUAAUGCAUUUCUAGCUGCAUGGGAAAAAAAAUUACAAAGUUGUUUUCUUUCAAAUGCCUGCUUCUCACACAAGUUUUUCCAUCAAGGAUUUAAAACCACACUCGUAGCCUUUGUGUAAGCAGUUCCUAUUAACCAAGCUACAAACAUGAAAGUGCAGAAAAAAUUGAACAAGUAGACAGGACAGAAAAGUUGAAUGAGCAUUGGCUCUUCUUAUUUUAAUGAAGAAAUAUUUCAAGUUAAUAUCAGUGCAUAUUUAGAAAUAGCAUGUGAUACUCCCAAUGCCAAAUACAACAGCAAAUUACAGUUUCAAAACUUUAUAAAUGAAUGGCAAGGAAAAAAAAAGAUUAACAGAGAGGAUAAGGUUCAAAAUAAACAUCCUGUUUGUUUGCUGCACUGUGUCAAUUAUAUUCCUGGUACUUACACAGCAAGAGUGAUCCAGUAUUUCAUGGUAAUUAGGCUCUCCAAAAUAGCAGUUAUUUUCCUACAAAUGAAUUAAGCGGUUUGCAUUUAUUUUUGAUGUAUAAUUAAAUGUUAUUCUUAGCUGUUACAAAGAAAUUUAGUCAUGUCAGAGUAAAAUUUCAUUCCAUGACUGAAAAAAUCACACUAACAUAGGAACACUGCCUUCUGGUUAUACCCACUGGUAACAGUCAGCUGAGAAUAGGAAGAACUACGUGUAAGCACAUUUGGCUGUUACAUAAAAUGGCUUUUUUUUUUCUGUUUCACAGCCUCAUAACAAUACUGUUUUUCAACAUUGUUCCCAGUCAUUGUUUUUAAAAUGGUUCAUCAACAUAUCCUGAAUCAAUCACCGAUAUAAAUAACUCCAGUGACAAAAUCCAUUAUGAAAGGACACAGAACUUCAAACUGAAAGUUGUACUGAAUGAUUUUAAGGUGGAACUGUAAUAACUGUAAUUACUCUAUAAGGUUAAAAAAAAAAAAGAAAACCACACAGUAAAAGCUGUAUCUGUAAUUAACUGGCAAUGAUAGAAUCUGAAAAACUGAGAUGUAAUUUUAAGAGAUGUCUAAUUCACAAUGGACUGUAAAGUAAGACAAAUCAUACUGAAGCUAGAGAGAGAUGCACAUUUAAAGCUUGCAAGUGUUAUAUAAAAAUAUUUUCUAGUUCUUUCAUUUUGAUACAAGGAGUCCAAUUCCCUAAUGGAAGAAGAUAAAAUACAUCCUCUUUCCUACCCCAUUGCUGUACAUAUAGACUGUUCCCUGGAUAUCAGGAAAUGGCUUUUCCCCAACAAAAAUACCAGCCUUGGGAAUCGCAGACUUUCUGAUAGUCAGGGUUUGUUGAUUUUGCUUUUUAAAGUAUACUUUCAAGCAGGUGAAAUACUGACAGGAUAUGCAUUUUGUUCACUACUAGUCUACUGUGCAAAUCUUAUACAUUGACCCUGUAACUUCAAUCCAGCUGCAGUCUGCAUCACCUAGAAUGACUGUGAAUCUUACUGUGAUACUACAGCAUGGAGAUGACUGCCAGGUUAUGAAAUAUCAGGCUAAAUCAGAUUAGUGGGAAAGGCACAUGCUUGGGAUUUAGCAGGAACACCUGAAGGUUCCUUGUUACCGUACCCUUACGCUCCUGGAGUUACAAUAAUUCUGUGCACUACCCAAACAACAAAGUUUGCUUCCAGAAAAUUGUGAGGUAACAGGAAACUUCUGCUUAUGGCACGUACACAUGAAAGGUCUGUGAGUUCAGCUGAAACACUUGAGGUGGUAGGGAUAACAGACACAAGGGAGGCUACAGUCUGGUUAGGCCAGAAACAAAAACUUAACAUUUUGUUAUACCACGUACAUUCCUUUUAUGCACAAACACAAGGUGCGCAAAAUAAACUGUUUGCUCAGUACAAUUUAAUGUUUUGCAUAUGUAAAAUAAUCACCUAAUACUGCAAUAUAAUCAAAAAUCAUGCACUAGAUAAACAGAGCUGCUUCCCCAUGAACAGUAGUUCUCGGGAACAUUUUAUUCUGCUUCAGGUAACAUCUCAUGAUUUGCUAGCUUACGCAGUCCCUUUUAAAGAACACAGUAUUUAGCUAAAACUGAAGAGCAAAAUUAAAAAAAAAAAGAAGUUUUGAUUUUAUUUGUGAUACAGCUGGGACA